UCUCCGCAAUGGGCGAAAGCCCGACGGGUUACCCCGAGUGCCACCCUCGUGGUGGCUUUUGCCCGCUCUAAAAAGGCGGGCGAAUAAGGGGAGGGCAAGUCGGGUGUCAGCCGCCGCGGUAAUACCCGCUCCCCGAGUGGUGGAGGCUAUUACUGGGCCUAAAGCGCCCGUAGCCGGCCCGGUGUGUCCCUCGUUAAAUCCACGGGCUUAACCCGUGGGCUGCGGGGGAUACUACCGGGCUUGGGGGUGGGAGAGGCGCCCGGUAUUCCCGGGGUAGGGGUAAAAUCCUCUGAUCCCGGGAGGACCAUCAGUGGCGAAGGCGGGGCGCCAGAACACGCCCGACGGUGAGGGGCGAAAGCUGGGGGAGCAAACGGGAUUAGAUACCCCGGUAGUCCCAGCUGUAAACGAUGCGGGCUAGCUGUCGGGGCGGCUACGGGCCGCCCCGGUGGCGAAGGGAAGCCAUUAAGCCCGCCGCCCGGGGAGUACGGCCGCAAGGCUGAAACUUAAAGGAAUUGGCGGGGGAGCACCACAAGGGGUGGACGUUGCGGCUUAAUCGGAUUCAACGCCGGAAACCUUACCGGGGCUGACGGCAGGAUGAAGGUCGGGCUGACGACCCUACCUGACGAGCCGAGAGGAGGUGCAUGGCCGUCGCCGGUGCGUGCCGUGAGGUGUCCUGUUAAGUCAGGCAACGGACGAGACCCGCGCCCCCAGUUGCCAGCGGCCGAGAGGCGCCGGGCACUCUGGGGGGACUGCCCCCGAAAGGGGGAGGAAGGAGCGGGCUACGGCAGGUCGGUAUGCCCCGAAUGCCCCGGGCCGCACGCGACGUUCAAUGGCGGGGACAGCGGGAUGCGACCCCGAAAGGGGGAGCCAAUCCCUAAACCCCGCCUCAGUAGGGAUCGAGGGUUGCAACUCGCCCUCGUGAACGCGGAAUCCCUAGUAACCGCGCGUUAACACCGCGCGGUGAAUACGUCCCCGCUCCUUGCACACACCGCCCGUCA
rnacentral:rRNA from 1 species